rnacentral:rRNA from 1 species
GACGAACGCUGGCGGCGUGCCUAAUACAUGCAAGUAGAACGCUGAAGAGAGGAGCUUGCUCUUCUUGGAUGAGUUGCGAACGGGUGAGUAACGCGUAGGUAACCUGCCUGGUAGCGGGGGAUAACUAUUGGAAACGAUAGCUAAUACCGCAUAAAAUGGAUUAUCGCAUGAUAAUCGAUUGAAAGGUGCAAAUGCAUCACUACCAGAUGGACCUGCGUUGUAUUAGCUAGUUGGUGGGGUAACGGCUCACCAAGGCGACGAUACAUAGCCGACCUGAGAGGGUGAUCGGCCACACUGGGACUGAGACACGGCCCAGACUCCUACGGGAGGCAGCAGUAGGGAAUCUUCGGCAAUGGACGGAAGUCUGACCGAGCAACGCCGCGUGAGUGAAGAAGGUUUUCGGAUCGUAAAGCUCUGUUGUAAGAGAAGAACGAGUGUGAGAGNGGAAA